rnacentral:rRNA from 1 species
GCACUGUCGAGGGGAGGAAAGACCCGCAAGGGUUUGACCUAUCCCUGGAGGAAGCACGGGCUAAGUUCGUGCCAGCAGCCGCGGUAAGACGAACCGUGCGAACGUUGUUCGGAUUCACUGGGCUUAAAGGGCGGCGUAGGCGGGCGGCCAAGUCAGGGGUGAAAUCUUUCGGCUCAACCGGAAAAUAGCCUUUGAUACUGGUCGUCUUGAGGGAGGUAGGGGCAGGUGGAACUUCUGGUGGAGCGGUGAAAUGCGUAGAUAUCAGAAGGAACGCCGGUGGCGAAAGCGACCUGCUGGAUCUCUUCUGACGCUGAGGCGCGAAAGCUAGGGAGCAAACGGGAUUAGAUACCCCGGUAGUCCUAGCCCUAAACGAUGGGUACUAGGUAGUGGACUUAACAUGGGUUCACUGCCGAAGCAAAAGUGAUAAGUACCCCGCCUGGGGAGUAUGGUCGCAAGGCUG